rnacentral:rRNA from 1 species
AGCAGCCGCGGUAAUUCCAGCUCCAAUAGCGUAUAUUAAAGUUGUUGCAGUUAAAAAGCUCGUAGUUGAAUUUCGGGGUCAAUAUGUUGGUCGUGCCUUGGUACGUACUAUCUUAUUGAUUUCUCCCUUCUGACGAACCAUGAUGUCAUUAAUUUGGUGUCAUGGGGAAUCAGGACUGUUACUUUGAAAAAUUAGAGUGUUUAAAGCAGGCUCACGCUUGAAUAUAUUAGCAUGGAAUAAUGAAAUAGGACGUUUGAUUCUAUUUUGUUGGUUUCUAGGAUCGACGUAAUGAUUAAUAGGGAUAGUUGGGGGCAUUAGUAUUCAAUUGUCAGAGGUGAAAUUCUUGGAUUUAUUGA